rnacentral:rRNA from 1 species
UACGUAGGGGGCAAGCGUUGUCCGGAAUCAUUGGGCGUAAAGCGCGUGUAGGCGGCCCGGUAAGUCCGCUGUGAAAGUCGGGGGCUCAACCCUCGAAUGCCGGUGGAUACUGUCGGGCUAGAGUGCGGAAGAGGCGAGUGGAAUUCCUGGUGUAGCGGUGAAAUGCGCAGAUAUCAGGAAGAACACCCGUGGCGAAGGCGGCUCUCUGGGACGGUACUGACGCUGAGACGCGAAAGCGUGGGGAGCAAACAGG